AAGAAUGACUUAUUUCUAGGUUAAAAAAUUGCCCCAAUAAUCGUGACCCCCUCCACCUCCGUUUGAGCUCGCGCGCAGCACCUCCUCCAUGACGGCUCCCCCACCUCCGUUCGACAACCCCUGACAGCACCCCAAGGCAGUAGCCCAGCCGCCGUUCGACCCCAGGACAACAACCCCACUAUUGUUCGACAUCCACAACAGUUCGUGUGACUGGACUCAACCUCUCUUCUCUGACUGGUUUCUUCCUUCUCAGGCGACAACACCUCAGGUGCAUUACGGAUUCCCCAGACCAUCAUAAUUAGUAGAUAGUAACAAAAUCUCUACAAAGAUCAAGAGUGCAUCUAGCAACCCUGAUCUUGAAAGAACUAAUUGGAAAAGAAACCCAGCUAGAGCCUAUCGUAAUUGUGAAUUUGUGAUUGACAACAGUGAAAACAAUGAUGCCUUUUCUUCUUCUAAGAAGUAUGAGAGUGA